rfam:Meleagris gallopavo isolate NT-WF06-2002-E0010 breed Aviagen turkey brand Nicholas breeding stock chromosome 9, whole genome shotgun sequence.
CAUAUGGUUCUACUCAGAACCCCAAAUUGAACCAAAGGUGGUUUUU